UACCAGCACCCCGAGUGGUCGGCACGUUUAUUGGGCCUAAAGCAUCCGUAGCCGGUUCUACAAGUCUUCCGUUAAAUCCACCUGCUUAACAGAUGGGCUGCGGAAGAUACUAUAGAGCUAGGAGGCGGGAGAGGCAAGCGGUACUCGAUGGGUAGGGGUAAAAUCCGUUGACCCAUUGAAGACCACCAGUGGCGAAGGCGGCUUGCCAGAACGCGCUCGACGGUGAGGGAUGAAAGCUGGGGGAGCAAACCGG
rnacentral:rRNA from 1 species